UUAUAAUCCCAGCAGUGGAGUAGCAUUCCCCUGUGGCCACAUUCCCGCCAGUAUCUGUAGUUAUCAGAUUUCUUGAUAAUGGCCAUUCUUACUGGGGUGAGGUGAAAUCUCAAUGUUGUUUUGAUUUGCAUUUCUUUUAUGGCCAGAGAUGUUGAGCAUUUCUUCAUGUGUCUAUUGGCCAUUCUAAUUUCCUCUUCAGAGAAGUCUCUCUCUAAGCCUUUGGCCCACUUAUUAAUGUGGUGGUUGUUUCUUUAAGGAUAUGUUUUUUUAGAGAAACUUGA